UCGCUUUGGCAGCGUAUGUGCUAAAAUUGGAACGACACAGAUUAGCGUGGCCCCUGUGCAAGGAUGACACAUAAAUUUGUGACGCAUUCCAUAUUUUG
rnacentral:snRNA from 1 species